CUCUUCUCAGGGUGGCAUCUGGAGAGUUUCCAGUACUCUACCAGUCCCGACUACUGGAGGGAGAGUCAAGAAGAGGCCUUCCAUUCCAUUCCUAGCUUGGACAGUGGCUGGAGAGUGGAAGGCCAUCUGCUACAAGU